GCCUUCACGGUGUAACGGUAGCGCUCUCGGCUCAUAUUGGAGAGGUCCAGGUUCGAGUCCCGGCGAGGGCA
rnacentral:tRNA from 1 species